GCCUCAGAGACAAGGAACCUGAGACAGCUCGGAAAACGCAGGUAGAAGCUUAAUGGAUAGGACUGGAGGUCACAGGGUUAGGACCAGUUAGUCGUACACAUGCACGAUGAGCUCAGUGGUUUAUAUUCUCCUGGAAGCAAGCGUCUGGGGUGUGGCUGCCACACCCCAGCCUGAUCUUGGGUAUCUAACCCUCACGUGCAGCCGGAACAACUGCUCUCAGAGUGGGGAACACAGUUUUGUUCAACCAGACAUCAGGGAUACCCACCGUCCAAUGGAAUGCCAGGGUCCCUCAGCCUCGGGUCCUAAAGGUAUUCUGCGGCCGGACAUUUGAGCAGAACAGCUAACAGCCAGAGCUAACAGCUGUCGGGAGCAGGCAGACUGACCUCUUAGAAGAAAGAGGGCCACCAGAUCGGAGGGCAGAACCUCUCCUGUCUAGGGGUUAAUCUGUGAUGUCUGCAAUGCU
rnacentral:lncRNA from 1 species